GACGAACGCUGGCGGCGGGCUUAACACAUGCAAGUCGAACGGAAAGGCCCUGCUUGUGUGUGGUUCUCGAGUGGCGAACGGGUGAGUAACACGUGAGUAACCUGCCCUUGACUUUGGGAUAACUUCAGGAAACUGGGGAUAAUACCGGAUAGGAGCGCCUGCUGCAUGGUGGGGGUUGGAAAGCUUCGGCGGAUGGGGAUGGACUCCCGGCUUAUCAGCUUGUGGGUGGGGGACUGGCUUACCAAGCCAUUGACGGGUAGCCGGCCUGGGAGGUUGAACGGGCACCAUGGGCCUGCGGUACGCACCAGUGUCCUACGGGAGGCAGCAGUGGGGAAUAUUGCACAAUGGGCGGAAGCCUGAUGCAGCAACGCCGCGUUCGGGAUGACGGCCUUCGGGUUGUAAACCGCUUUAGCCUGUGACGAAGCGUGAGUGACGGUAAUGGGUAAAGAAGCACCGGCUAACUACGUG
rnacentral:rRNA from 1 species